UACGGAGGAUCCAAGCGUUAUCCGGAAUCAUUGGGCUUAAAGGGUCCGUAGGCGGUUUUGUAAGUCAGGGGUGAAAGCCCAUCGCUCAACGGUGGAACGGCCAUUGAUACUGCAAGACUUGAAUUAUUAGGAAGUAACUAGAAUAUGUAGUGUAGCGGUGAAAUGCUUAGAGAUUACAUGGAAUACCAAUUGCGAAGGCAGGUUACUACUAGUGGAUUGACGCUGAUGGACGAAAGCGUGGGGAGCGAACAGG
rnacentral:rRNA from 1 species